rfam:Gossypium hirsutum cultivar TM-1 chromosome 13, whole genome shotgun sequence
AAACCAUGCAUCGGGCAUUUUCUAAUUAAUUCCUUGAAUCAUUCCCAAGCUUUAUACAAUGUCUCAUCCUUAGAUUACCAAAAAUAUGUAAUAUCAUUCUUCAAUUU